rnacentral:rRNA from 1 species
UACGUAGGGGGCGAGCGUUGUCCGGAUUUAUUGGGCGUAAAGAGCUCGUAGGCGGUUUGGCAAGUCGGGUGUGAAAACUCCGAGCUCAACUCGGAGACGCCACUCGAUACUGCCAUGACUCGAGUCCGGUAGGGGAGUGCGGAAUUCCUGGUGUAGCGGUGAAAUGCGCAGAUAUCAGGAGGAACACCAGUGGCGAAGGCGGCACUCUGGGCCGGUACUGACGCUGAGGAGCGAAAGCGUGGGGAGCGAACAGGAUUAGAUACCCCAGUAGUCC